rnacentral:tRNA from 1 species
GCGGGGUUAACUCAGACCGGUAGAGUGCCGCUCCUACAAAGCGGAUGUCCCUGGUUCGACUCCAGGACCCCGCACCA